rnacentral:sRNA from 1 species
AAAGAUACGAGAAAGUCAAUUCUGGAAAGGAUCAAGAUUUAUCAAGAUUUAGAAGACGAAUGUAAUGCUAAUCCGUCUAGGGCCACUGUUAAGAGGAGUGUUCAAGAAAAACUGGAAGAUCCUGGAACUUUCACUCUACCAUGUUCCAUUGGUCAAUUGGUUUUCAGCAAUUGUCUAUGUGAUUUGGGAGCUUCAGUAAGCUUAAUGCCACUCUCCGUGGCAAGGAAGUUGGAAUUCACUCAGUACAAGCCUUGCGACAUGACUUUGAUCCUUGCUGAUAUGUCUUCAAGGAAACCCUUUGGCCUGCUACAAGAUCUGCCAGUAAAGAUUAAUGGAGUGGAAGUACCUACAGAUUUCGUUGUGCUUGAGAUGGAAGCAAAACCUAAGGAUCCUCUAAUCCUAGGGAGACCUUUCUUAGCCUCAGUGGGAGCGAUGAUAGAUGUCAAAGACGGGAGAAUAAGUCUCAACCUUGGGAAGCACAUCAAGCUGCAGUUUGACAACAACGAAACUUUGCAAAGGACAGCUGUAGAAGAAAAGAUCAGGGCUCAACCUCAACCUUCAAAUUCAAUCACCAGACCAAGCACAACCUCUACACCUGACUUGCGAGAUCUCAAAAAGAAAUUUGAUGAGCAAGAAUAAACCAUAGAGAAUCUAGCUCAGACAGUUGAGGAACUUAAGAGUAAAUUGGAUCAGAUGCAAGAGAAAGCUCAAUCAAAAUGCGGGAUUGAUACUAUCCCGAGAAAAAAGUUUACUUCAAGACGGUCUGAGGAGAUAAAUUAUCCACCAGAAGAGAAAGAGGCCUAUUUCGAGGAAAGAAGAAUUGAGUAUUCUUCUACGCAUCUCUCAAGAGAGGAUGCUGAAUAUGAUGAUGAGAUCAGAGAGGACUAUGCAGAUCCUCUCUAUCACCCAUUUUCUUCUUAAUGAGUGUGAGGAGUCAAGCUAGAGACUUUAAACAAGCUCACUUGGGAGGAAUUCCCAAGACUGUUUCUGUAAAUAAAACUUUUAUUUUCUUUUUAUUUUUGAUUUGUUUUUGGUUGUGUUUGUGAUUCUCAGGAACAGAGAAACAGCGUGGAGGUAGAGUAAAAAUUUAAAAAAUUUACUCUACAGAGCAACAAGGGAUCGAGUAUGUGAGAAAUUCAAGAAUUUGAAAAACUUUUGUUGCACUUAGAAGCCAUGAGGUCGAGUAAGUUGGUCGAGUAUUAGUGAUGAUUUUAAAAACCAAAAUUUUGAAAUUAUACUUAUACUCGACCAACAGAAGCUACAGAGACUUGGAGGGAGUUUAACAAGUUUACAGAGGAUUACAGAAGGUUCUAGUCAACAGGGAACAAUGCUUCAGGACAAACAGACCAAGUGCGUCCCACCUUCUCUCCUUUUUGUCCC